UGAUCUUAUCCUAACACAAAUUACAGUAUAAAAACCUGAAAUAAAUCAGUGCUAGAGUUAUUUUGAGGCUCCUUUAGCAUCGAGCACCACAGGCUGUUUAGAUGUUUAAAGUAGAAUCAUUAGCAAUCUACAUGGCAAGGCGGGUAUAUAGAAAGAGGAGCUUUAACAUCUUAAUUCUUCAUCAACUACUGGUUCACUUUCAUUGCUUAUUUUGGUUUAUGAAUUCCUAUCCCUUUUCUUUGUUCACAAUGACGACUACGUCCAAAAGACCACAAAAACCAACCCCUCUGGCAGGGCCGGACCCCUUUUUAGACAGUGCUAUGUAAAAUUUACUUGUGUCCGUUAAAAAACGUAUUAAGUAAACAUUCAUUAUUAUCGACGCACAAUUAACAUGGUUGAUUCAGGGAGCGCUAUCACCAGCUGCAUACAUAUUUUUCAAUUAAGCGAAAACUUAUGUAUAUUGUAUCAAAUAUGCCAUCGGCCGAGGUUACAUGCUUGAAAGUUUCCUUCGCUUUAAAUAGUUCAUUUUUUUUUUGGACACCGGCCAAUGUUGCUGGCAGCAGUAGCGCACAACCGAAAAUAUUAUUUUCUUUGAUUUAGAUCCGUAAAAUACACAAGACGCAGAUCGACAUCGAGAAAAUUUGUUGAAGGUAGGCUGGCGGCUGACUUCGUUGCUCGUAUCAGCACCAUCAUUCGUUCCUGUGGCGUUUGCUGAACGAAAAAACACUCGUCUGGUGACGCACUUAAAGUCUGUGCAUGCAUGCAUUUUUGUUACCUAUCACAUAAGGUGCACGUUAAAACGGGAUUUCGAAAAAUUCCACCCUCAUGUGUGGGAAAAUCGCGAAAAACGUUUGUAUGAAACUUUUUUGUUUACCAUACUUCAAUUAAUUUCCAAGGAUAUAUAUGAAAAAUCAUUUGAGACGUGCUUCACAUUUUUCGCAAAAUCAAACCUUCCUCGGUGGAAGAUGCCAAUCAACGAUUUUUUUUGGUAAAGUUUUAAGUUUUUCGCGAUUUGCUUCAAACUUAUUUCAAAAGCCCUACAUAAGAACUUAAUAAAUAAAUACGUGUUUCAGCGAUUUGCGGAAACUUCACCUGCAACAGUGGUCAAAGAUUGAAUGAACGAAAGUUUAUUUUACUGCUUUAAUCUUCACACAAUCAUAGAUCCAACUUUUGGUUCUUUAUUCGUUGGACUGCAAACUCAUUUUUGAGUAUCAACUUCAAAAGUGGAGGCAAAAAUAAGUGUAAAAUUUAUGACUAAAGUUUUAAACAAAAAACUAAGACCGGCUGGUACUAGCUAGUACUAAUAUAAAUUAGUAAAUUAAAUAAUAAUAAUAUAAAAAUCACAUAUGUAAAUAAUUUAAUUUAAUUAAAUCCAAUAAUUACACAAAGUCCUUGAGCACUAGGAUCCAAAUAAGAAUUAUAUACAAAUUAAAAUACAAAAAUAUGUAUAUAUCAACGAUUAAGAAAAAACAAUAUAACUGUAUAUUCAAAAUCCAUUUUUGGAAGACUUCAUUUCA